rnacentral:lncRNA from 1 species
GCUUUCAUACUUUCACCUGAAGUUUAUGAAAUCAUUAGUUCUUAAAUUUAUUUGAUAUAAUGUUAGUAUUACUUUUUAUCAGUUCUUUUUGUAAUGCAUACACAGCUUUUUUCCCUAUGAUAUUGGGAUGAUUUUGGGUUAAAUGUUUUUUGAGUGCCUUUAAUACUAAUUGAAACAUAAACUGGUUUGAUUUUUCCACCAGUGUUUUGAUAACAUCUGACAUCUGAUCACUAAGUUUAAAGCCAGUAAGUCUCCAUUGCUCUAUUUCUGAAAGAAUAAUGAUUUCCUAUUUUGCGAUUUGCAAAAAAAAAAAAAAAGACCUACUGUUUCUGUUUCUGUCUCACACACUCACACGCACGCACACACACACACACUCACUAACUUACUAGCAAAGGCACGCAAACACAUGCCAGUGCGUCUGCGCUGACGUUUCCCAGUCCCAGUCGGCCCAUUAUAAAUGGGCAUCUGGGUUUGCCAUAAUAAACACACUCUGACUGUACACUGUGCAGACGCCCUCAGUUGAAACCAUGCGUGUCUCCUUCCCCCCCACUCCCCCAUCCAGGGGAGAUGCCCUCCACCAGGUUGGCACGACAACAGCCUGAUUGGAAGCUGAUAGGCCAUGGUGGGUGGCAUGGCCAUGGGUGCCGGGGCCAGUGGAAGGAAGGGGGAGAGCCAGCUGGGUAAAGGAGGGAGUCAAACGGACCUGGAUGACUGCCCGCUGUCCUCCAACUCAUUCACCCUAGUCCUCCCAUGACUGUGUCAGACACGGAGACCCAGUAGGAGAUGGACACAAGCCACCAUUCAUUUCCUAAAUCUCGUCGUACAUGCUGCUUGGACCAUGGACACAUUCUCCCUGGCACCUCUCAGGAUAUGGGCAUUAGUGAUUAAAGAGGUAGGCAACUCUCCACUUGCUACUUGCCAUUACCACUCACCAUGACCUCAGAACACAGCCAGCAGCAGCAGCAGGACAUACUCUUUGAUUUUUUUUUUUUUUUUUUUUUUUUUUAACUACAGGGUGAAAUUUG